CCACAGCCAUUUUAUGGAGUUCACAUUUUUUCUGACAGAGGAAGAGUCCUUCUGUAGAUGAAAGACUUCAUUUUUCAUGUCUUAACCCAUGGGAUUCUAUGCUGAAAAUUAAUUCGAGGCGUGUAAGGAAUAAGGGACGCCAAGAGUUGGUAUCCCAUGGGAUGCCCCCUUAUUCCCUAUAAAAAGGGGUCACUAUUCCUUGUUUUGAUGUCUCCUUUUUGGCUGUGUUUAGGCAUGAGAAUG
rnacentral:lncRNA from 1 species